rnacentral:rRNA from 1 species
GUUUAAGCAGCCGCGGUAAUACGUAGGGUGCAAGCGUUGUCCGGAAUUAUUGGGCGUAAAGAGCUCGUAGGCGGUUUGUCGCGUCGGCUGUGAAAGCCCGGAGCUCAACUCCGGGUCUGCAGUCGAUACGGGCAGACUUGAGUGUUGCAGGGGAGACUGGAAUUCCUGGUGUAGCGGUGAAAUGCGCAGAUAUCAGGAGGAACACCGGUGGCGAAGGCGGGUCUCUGGGCAACAACUGACGCUGAGGAGCGAAAGCGUGGGGAGCGAACAGGAUUAGAUACCCUGGUAGUCC